rnacentral:rRNA from 1 species
GGCCUAACACAUGCAAGUCGAACGGUAACAGGAAGAAGCUUGCUUCUUUGCUGACGAGUGGCGGACGGGUGAGUAAUGUCUGGGAAACUGCCUGAUGGAGGGGGAUAACUACUGGAAACGGUAGCUAAUACCGCAUAACGUCGCAAGACCAAAGAGGGGGACCUUCGGGCCUCUUGCCAUCGGAUGUGCCCAGAUGGGAUUAGCUAGUAGGUGGGGUAACGGCUCACCUAGGCGACGAUCCCUAGCUGGUCUGAGAGGAUGACCAGCCACACUGGAACUGAGACACGGUCCAGACUCCUACGGGAGGCAGCAGUGGGGAAUAUUGCACAAUGGGCGCAAGCCUGAUGCAGCCAUGCCGCGUGUAUGAAGAAGGCCUUCGGGUUGUAAAGUACUUUCAGCGGGGAGGAAGGGAGUAAAGUUAAUACCUUGCUCAUUGACGUUACCCGCAGA